rnacentral:lncRNA from 1 species
CUACGACACUGAUAUAUUUCCAGUCCGACAGAUGAUCAUUGAAGCAGCUGACAACAUUUUCAUGCUUGGCUGAUUUUUGCAGAGCGACAUAGAAUUGAUAAUGGAACUUUCAAAGCGGUGCUGGUUCAGCCUCAUUUGCUAAAUGGCGAUCCCUCAGUGAGCUGUCAUAGGGGUCUCGUGCUACGUACGCCAACGUUGCAGAACCCGAGACAUCCACUCGAUCAGUUUGAAAAGGUGGACUUCUCGUUAAGCUGUGAACGAAAGCUGUUAUCACCCCUAACGAGGCAGAAACAGAGCGAAUCUUGGGCAAGCAGCAGAAAUUGCUCCCAUCGAAGCUCUCGAGACUGCAGCUGUAUACGAGAUACGUACCUAGGCCGACCAAGCAGUAGGCAAGGUCUAGCCCCGCUUGUCCGGCUCGACUCCGAUGAGGGUGGAAAGGGUAGAGAAGACGACGAUACGGGCCCGGAGGAGACGCGGACGCCUUUACUUAAGAGUGUUAGCAGCACGUAAAACUGUGACAGCACGAGGAAUAACUAGCUCGCCACGAAGCCUUGUCGCCUGCCUAGCUCGACAUCACGUUUAAUAGUAGCAUAGACCGGUUAUCCACGAAGGAUAAAGUAAUGCCACCUGCUUUUCAAAGCUUCGAUAAGAAAAAAUCUAUAUUUCUGAUCACCUUAUCAGUUUGAUUUCAAAACGUUAAGAUCAAAAAAAAACAAAAUCCGACGUUUGAAAGCCAGGCAAUAGAACCUGAAUGCAGCCUGCAGGGACAAUUUCUAGAACAUUAAUGCUGUUUAGAUCUAUAUAAGCUUUCAGCCAUCGAUGAGAACUAUCUAUUGCAACUAAAUAGAGGCAGAGGAAAAGCCAAGAGCAUUUGUAAGUGACCUAAAAUUGUGCAUAUGUCCGAAUAUCGCAGUCAUCAAGGUCGGACACGCUCCCGAGCUUUUGUAGAUAGUAGCUCUCAAAUAUUACGCGACGGAAUUCUAGUCACGAACGGUUCGCUAACAUAACGAUGCUAACACACGGUUCUUUUUUUGUGCAUAACUACAUUAAACUAAUAGUACUUUCCUCUUAUUGCAUUGCCGCUUGCCUGUCGUAUCUCACUUAUAGUCAUUCGAACAGUUCCUUAACCCAAAUGCUAUAAGCAUGUACCCAUUCUUGGCUUCUAAGAGCUAAAUACUGGACUCGAUGAUCCCGUUUCCAUGAUUUUCAACAAGCAAAUGUAACGUUUUUUGUAUAUAGUACAUACUAUGCACACGGUAUUGCAAUACAUAAGAGUUGUCGGCAGUUUCCACUGUACAGGUGGGUGUUCGAGUGCUAAACCUGAAGGUCCACUUGAAGGUGUGUCAACUUUCCACCUACGCAGAGACAUGUAAUCGUUGGCCAUAUUAUACCACUAUAUUUAUAGUAUUAUAGUAGUUCAUAUAUAUAUAUAUAUAUAUAUAUAUAGGAAUUACUAUAGUACUGAUCUGAUAAAGCAGAACUGUUUGUGUCAUGGGUGGAACAUGCGUUUUGUAUGCGAUGUAUUUAAAAGAUUACUAUACCAGAACGCUUUUCCCUCUCAUGGAAGCUGGGUGAAUAGCAAAGCGAAUUACGUACUAUUUCCGUUUCAUACAGCUUUCACAUUCAGCGGUAUGCGCCUUUAGAAAAAUAAUUUUGUUUCGUCUGAAAAACCUAUAACGUUUCGAAAUUUAGACAUUUUAUUAACUAGUAGAGGACAUCUACGCGGUUUAAAUCAGCUUCAAACAAUUGUUAAGGAAAUUUUGUAAAUGCUGCUUAGAAUUGGGCAAUGAAAUGGCCUAUAGUUACGUCAUGUGAUUAUUAUUAAAAAAAAAAAAAAAUAUUUAAUUUUGGCACACAUUUUAAAGCAGCGACCUAGUAGUGCCUAAGAUUAGACUGAACUGUAUUUUGUUCGCCAUCUUAAAGGCGACCAACGGGUUUAUUUGCUAAAUUUCUGAAUUACUUACGAAUGCUCUAUAGCAACCGUUGAUAAAAGGUGUCAGUAUCUCGAGCGGCAGCUUCUCGUCGCCACCUUUGCCGUUCUCCUUUCAAUGGCGCGAAGUAACAAUACCCUUCGUUUUUCGGUAAUAACCUCUUCAGAGGAGAUGGUUCCACCGCUUGCCGCCUUGCUCUACCAUUUCCGUUUUUCUCGUUCGAUCACCUUGGUCCUCGUUACAAAUCUGGCUUGCCCUUCUCUCCAAUUCACGUCCCUGUCCCCCCUUGCCGUCGUCCGAAAGCGACAUCCCGAGGACUUCAUGCUCUGUUCUUUUCAGUCCUCCUGCAAAUCGACCUCCUUGCUUUGCCUCUUUCCCGUCUCGUAAAAAUUAUGACAUACCAACGUAACGCUCGCCGAAAUGCCGGCAGGAGCGAGGAAAAGGGACUGAAAGUCGUCCAGCCGAUCUUCUUCCCAAAAGCUUCGUCUGCCUAUUAUCUUAUGAUCAGCGGCAUGCGGGAUGAGGUUUUAUCUGUUCCUAGCAGGCACUUUCUCUGUCCGAUAUUCUUCUCUGUCGAUGUCGCAAUUGCAACGCCAGAAACACCACUGCGGCGGUGCAACGACACCGUUGGCGGCAUCGUUGUCAAGGGCUUGUCGAGGGCACUCUCGAAUACACGCGUAUCAAGGCCUUCUGGCCAUCCAUCGCCUGACAAAAAGGAACAGCGCGCUGGUGAUCCUCGACUGGAGAAAGAAACGCGGCAGGGAUCAAUGUCUCCCUUUUUCUACGGCCUGAGAGCAGAGUGUAUAGACGGACUCUUUAGAGGAAGUUGGUUUUUCUGCUUGGGUAAGGCUAUGACUGGUUUGUAGGGAGGCGUUCAAGACGAAGAAAAAAAAAGAUAUACAUUUUUACUUAAGCUACGGGGGUUGCUGAAAUGUAAAAAAGGUGAGAGAGGUCGAAGUUACAUGAAGCUGGGAACUAGGGUAUAAGGGUUUCCAUUUGAGAAAGCAGUGUCGACCAGGCAUCGGUUUUGGCGAACCAUCGCCCGCACAACGCACUCCCGAUUCUCCUGCGUUACUUCAUACUACGCCAAUGUUUGCCAAGGUGGGCCUUAACACGCAAUUUUCGCAAGAAACGCGCCCUCCUUGCAGCUAGGAGUUUGGAGGAGCCACAUUCCGCCGAGCUAUUUCGACAGGCAGGAGGGCCAAAUCAUAGACAUAAAAAAAGACACAAGCUCUAUUGCGAACAAGAGUGAACACGAUGCUCUACGUUAAAAGCACAAACGGACUAUACAUUAAUAUAAAGAAUUCUCGUACACAGAAGGAUAGCUAGUAAUAGAUAGAGAAAUGUAGAUGAUGAUCACGUGGAGCUUUCUCCAAGUAUAACGUACUUAACCAGAUGUUUCAUAAAUUCAUUAGCCAAGCAAACUAGUUAAGAGCCACUAAAAUAUAAAGAUAUUCAAGCGAAAAAGUUACUAGCAUGCAUACAUGAUAAAUCAGCAACUUUAAAUCCUCGCGGGGUGCUAUAGGUAUUCCGUUCCAAUCCUCUGCUGUUUUGGUAUUUUUUGUAAGCUUUAUGUAAACGGCCUG